UUUCGAAUCAUUCACAAUGGGCGCAAGCCUGAUGGUGCGACGCCGCGUGAGGGAUGAAGGUCUUCGGAUUGUAAACCUCUGUCACUGGGGAGAAAACGUUUUGAGCUAACAGUUCAAAGCCUGAUUUAACCCGGAGAGGAAGCAGUGGCUAACUCUGUGCCAGCAGCCGCGGUAAUACAGAGACUGCAAGCGUUAUUCGGAUUCACUGGGCGUAAAGGGUGCGCAGGCGGCCGUGUGUGUAAGGUGUGAAAUCCCGGGGCUUAACCCCGGAACUGCGCCUUAAACUACAUGGCUAGAGUACUGGAGAGGGUAGCGGAAUUCACGGUGUAGCAGUGAAAUGCGUAGAUAUCGUGAGGAACACCAGAGGCGAAGGCGGCUACCUGGACAGUUACUGACGCUCAGGCACGAAAGCGUGGGGAGCAAAAG
rnacentral:rRNA from 1 species